rnacentral:rRNA from 1 species
UUGAACGCUGGCGGCAUGCCUUACACAUGCAAGUCGAACGGUAACAGGUCUUCGGAUGCUGACGAGUGGCGAACGGGUGAGUAAUACAUCGGAACGUGCCCGAUCGUGGGGGAUAACGCAGCGAAAGCUGUGCUAAUACCGCAUACGAUCUACGGAUGAAAGCGGGGGACCUUCGGGCCUCGCGCGAUUGGAGCGGCUGAUGUCGGAUUAGCUAGUUGGUGGGGUAAAGGCCUACCAAGGCGACGAUCCGUAGCUGGUCUGAGAGGAUGAUCCGCCACACUGGGACUGAGACAUGGCCCAGACUCCUACGGGAGGCAGCAGUGGGGAAUUUUGGACAAUGGGCGAAAGCCUGAUCCAGCCAUGCCGCGUGAGUGAAGAAGGCCUUCGGGUUGUAAAGCUCUUUCAGCCGGAAAGAAAUCGCGCAGGCUAAUACUCUGCGUGGAUGACGGUACCGGAAGAAGAAGCACCGGCUAACUACGU